UAAUCAAUUAAGCAAUUAUCACGUCAUCACAGUCCUUUAAUAGUGGCAUCCAAGCAACUAUUGGGAAGAUAACAAAAGUCAGGAUCAAUUUCUACUGUGGCAUUUAGCACAGGCUUAUGGCGCUGCCAAGACGACAAAGACAUACAAACCUUAUGGUGCAGCUACGACAUCUGCUAGCAGAAGUUAACCGGGCCAUGCUAACCAGUCAAACUCUGACCCCUGGGUUCCCCCUUGUGAACGGCUCUGCCUGCAGGUCUCAUGAUUCACGCUGAAACUCUGACACUAAUGACUGCAUUACUGCGGAUGGUGUGGGUGUUUCAGAAUGGCUCCUGCUUUCAGUCGGUGUCUGAGGAUGCUGGAGACGCUGUGGGAGGGUGAAACUUUGGACUGCUUGUAAUUAUGACAAAUAAAAAGAGAGAAAAAGUUUUCA
ensembl:lncRNA